CCAUAACUUCUAGGGCUGCAAACUAUAAAAAAGAGGAGAACGAUUCCAAGAGCAGGUUCUCAAUUCAUGAUGCUCAAAAUGUACUGAGUCCUACCGUGCUAUAUGAUACAGCCACCGGGACUAAAGAGAUGAAUGAGGCUAUUCCAACACCAUUUGCUGAAGCUGUUGAAAGCACAUUAACUCAUACCUCACUU